rnacentral:rRNA from 1 species
UACGGGGGGAGCAAGCGUUGUUCGGAUUUACUGGGCGUAAAGGGCGCGUAGGCGGUCGUGACAAGUCACUUGUGAAAUCUCCGGGCUUAACUCGGAAAGGUCAAGUGAUACUGUCGGACUAGAGUACAGAAGGGGCAACUGGAAUUCUCGGUGUAGCGGUGAAAUGCGUAGAUAUCGAGAGGAACACCUGCGGCGAAGGCGGGUUGCUGGGCUGAUACUGACGCUGAGGCGCGAAAGCUAGGGAAGCGAACGGG